GGGACCCUGCGCUGUACGUGAUGCUAGAAAGAGUCUUGAGCCAACACUCGACCACGGGCGGGGCUGGCGUCCCUUCCGGCAGAGAAGCCUAAGGUUUCAAAGCUAAGGUUGGGCAGGCCCCCAUAUGAAAAGGAUCGGGUCAAGACCUUCUAAUCACGGCAGCCGCGGGGCACGG
rnacentral:sRNA from 1 species